GUUCCUGUAGUGUAGUGGUUAUCACGUUUGCUUCUCGCGCAAAAGGUCUCUGGUUCAAAACCAGACAGAAACG
rfam:Poecilia formosa, whole genome shotgun sequence.